UCGUGGAGCGCUGGCUGUGGCAGCAGCGCCGGCUGCGCCGGCAGGACCUGGGCCGGGCUGAGUUCCUGCGUGAGGUUUGGCGCUGGAAGGAGCGGCACGGGGACGAGAUCCUGCAGCAGCUGCGGGCGCUCGGGGCCUCGCUGGACUGGAGCCGCUGCGCCUUCACCAUGGACCCCGGCUUCUCCCGCGCUGUCACCGAGGCCUUCGUGCGGCUCUUCCGGGCGGGGCUGAUCCGGCGCGACCAGCGGGUGGUGACGUGGAGCUGCGCCCUGCGCUCGGCGCUGGCCGACGUCGAGGUGUCCCCAAAUGUCCCCAAGGGUGUCCCCUGGGGGCUCUGACACAGCCUGGCCGACGUCGAGGUGUCCCCAAAUGUCCCCAAGGGUGUCCCCAAUGUCC